UACAGAGGGUGCGAGCGUUGUCCGGAAUCACUGGGCGUAAAGGGCGCGUAGGCGGUCUGGUAAGCGUGUGGUGAAAGCCCGGGGCUCAACCCCGGGUCGGCCGUGCGAACUGCUGGACUGGAGCAGAUCAGAGGCAGGCGGAAUUCCGGGUGUAGCGGUGGAAUGCGUAGAGAUCCGGAAGAACACCGGUGGCGAAGGCGGCCCGCUGGGCAGUGACUGACGCUGAGGCGCGACAGCGUGGGGAGCAAACAGG
rnacentral:rRNA from 1 species